UACGAAGGGGGCUAGCGUUGCUCGGAAUUACUGGGCGUAAAGCGUGCGCAGGCGGUUCGGAAAGAGAGGUGUGAAAUCCCAGGGCUUAACCUUGGAACUGCACUUCUAACUACCGGGCUAGAGUACGUCAGAGGGGGGUAGAAUUCCACGUGUAGCAGUGAAAUGCGUAGAGAUGUGGAGGAAUACCGAUGGCGAAGGCAGCCCCCUGGGAUGAUACUGACUCUCAUGCACGAAAGCGUGGGGAGCAAACAGG
rnacentral:rRNA from 1 species